GACGAACGCUGGCGGCGUGCCUAAUACAUGCAAGUCGAACGCAGUGGGGACGGGGGCGUAACCCGUGGGUAACCUCCCAUCAGAAGGGAUAACACUUGGAAAAAGGUGCUAAACCGCUACUGAUGGAUGGACCCGCGGUGCAUUAGCUAGUUGGUUGGGUCACGGCUCACCAAGGCUACGAUGCAUAGCCGACCUGAGAGGGUGAUCGGCCACACUGGGACUUAGCCACGGCCCAGACUCCUACGUGAGGCAGCAGUGGGGAAUUUUGGACAAUGGGGGAAAGCCUGAUCCAGCCAUCCGGCGUGUAUGAUGAAGGCCUUCGGGUUGUAAAGUACUUUUGGCAGAGAAGCGGUAUCUGCAGAAUAAGCACCGGCUAACUACGUGCCAGCAGCCGCGGUAAUUC
rnacentral:rRNA from 1 species